CGUUUCCACAAUAAUUAUUGAUUCAAAUACCCUAUGCUGUGUGAAUACAACAGCUGAAUGCAUAUGAGAAGCUGUUUGGCUGAAUUUAUAUGAGAAGACUUUGUGAAGACUCAUCUGCAUACCGUGAUAUUACUGCGAUUAAGGAAUACACAUUGAGGAAUACACACAGAUGAUAGACUCUCUGGACAUCUUUAUUGGCUAUAUAUAAACAGUUUGUAUAAUUUUCGUGCAAUUGCCUUUGAAAUUACCUUAUAAUAUCAUAUAAAAAGUAUAUUAAUUCUU